rfam:Batrachochytrium dendrobatidis JAM81 unplaced genomic scaffold BATDEscaffold_4, whole genome shotgun sequence.
GCCCUCUUAGCUCAGUGGUAGCAGCGCUUGCCUAGUAAGCAAGAGGUCGAGUGUUCAAAUCACUCAGAGGGCA